rnacentral:rRNA from 1 species
AGAGUUUGAUCCUGGCUCAGGAUGAACGCUAGCGGCAGGCCUAAUACAUGCAAGUCGAGGGGUAGUGGAGCUUGCUCCAUGAGACCGGCGCACGGGUGCGUAACGCGUAUGCAACCUACCUUUAUCUGGGGGAUAGCCCGAAGAAAUUCGGAUUAAUACCGCAUAAAAUCACAGAGCCGCAUGGUUCAAUGAUCAAACAUUCAUGGGAUAGAGAUGGGCAUGCGUGUCAUUAGUUAGUUGGCGGGGUAACGGCCCACCAAGACCGCGAUGACUAGGGGAUCUGAGAGGAUGGCCCCCCACACUGGUACUGAGACACGGACCAGACUCCUACGGGAGGCAGCAGUAAGGAAUAUUGGUCAAUGGAGGCAACUCUGAACCAGCCAUGCCGCGUGCAGGAAGACAGCCCUCUGGGUCGUAAACUGCUUUUAUUCGGGAAUAAACCUAUCUACGUGUAGAUAGCUGAAUGUACCGAAGGAAUAAGGAUCGGCUAACUCCGUGCCAGCAGCCGCGGUAAUACGGAGGAUCCAAGCGUUAUCCGGAUUUAUUGGGUUUAAAGGGUGCGUAGGCGGCCUGUUAAGUCAGGGGUGAAAGACGGUAGCUCAACUAUCGCAGUGCCCUUGAUACUGAUGGGCUUGAAUACACUAGAGGUAGGCGGAAUGUGACAAGUAGCGGUGAAAUGCAUAGAUAUGUCACAGAACACCGAUUGCGAAGGCAGCUUACUAUGGUGUCAUUGACGCUGAGGCACGAAAGCGUGGGGAUCAAACAGGAUUAGAUACCCUGGUAGUCCACGCCCUAAACGAUGAAUACUCGCUGUUUGCGAUAUACAGUUAGCGGCUAAGCGAAAGCGUUAAGUAUUCCACCUGGGGAGUACGCCCGCAAGGGUGAAACUCAAAUGAAUUGACGG